CGGCCUGGUCUCGUGACAUUGGUCAGAAAGUCACGAGUACAGGCUGAGGCGGCCGCUGCAGUUGCAGUAUGGACUCGGAGAGGGAUGUACGCGCACAGCUGCAGCGUGCGGGCCAGGACCAUCUCCUGCGCUUCUAUGCCGACCUGGCUCCGGAAGCCCGAGCCGCACUGCUAGCGGAGCUCGCCUCAUUGGAGGCCGACGCGCUGCGUGAGCACUGCCAGCGCGCCGCAGCUGCGGGCGCGCUAGCUCCGGGUCCUCUGCCGGACCUGGCUGCGCGCCUGCAGCCCCUGCCCCCAGAACGCGUGGGCAGCGCGAUCCGCUGUGACCAAGAGACACGCCUGCGGUGGGAAGAGGAAGGUUUCCGACAGAUUUCUCUGAACAAGGUAGCUGUCCUGCUGCUGGCGGGUGGGCAGGGCACUCGCCUGGGCGUCACAUACCCAAAGGGCAUGUAUCAAGUUGGGCUGCCCAGCCAGAAGACCCUGUAUCAACUGCAAGCAGAGCGGAUCCGGCGUGUCCAACAGUUGGCUGACCAGCGACAGGGGACCCACUGCACUGUGCCCUGGUACAUCAUGACCAGUGAGUUUACCCUGGGACCCACAAUCAAGUUCUUCAAGGAGCAUGACUUCUUCCACCUGGACCCCACUAACGUAGUGCUGUUCGAGCAGCGCAUGCUACCUGCUGUGACCUUUGAGGGCAAGGCCAUCCUGGAACGGAAAGACAAAGUUGCCAUGGCCCCAGAUGGCAACGGGGGUUUGUACUGUGCACUGGCUGACCACCAGAUCCUGGAGGACAUGAAGCAGCGGGGUGUGGAGUUUGUGCAUGUGUACUGCGUAGACAACAUCUUGGUGCGGCUGGCUGACCCAGUCUUCAUUGGCUUCUGUGUGCUUCAGGGAGCAGACUGUGGUGCUAAGGUGGUGGAGAAAGCAUACCCUGAGGAGCCAGUGGGUGUGGUGUGCCAGGUGGAUGGUGUCCCCCAGGUGGUGGAAUACAGCGAGAUCAGCCCUGAGAUUGCUGGGCAGCUCGGGGCUGAUGGAGGCUUGCUCUACAACGCAGGCAACAUCUGCAACCAUUUCUUCACCAGAGGCUUCCUGGAUGUGGUUACCAGGGAGUUUGAGCCCUUGCUGAGGCUGCAUGUGGCCAUGAAGAAGGUCCCAUACGUGGAUGAGGAGGGAAAUCUGGUAAAGCCGCUAAGACCGAAUGGGAUAAAGAUGGAGAAGUUUGUGUUUGAUGUGUUCCAGUUUGCUAAGAACUUUGUUGCCUUUGAAGUGUGUCGGGAAGAGGAGUUCUCCCCUCUGAAGAAUGAUGACACAGCCGACAGGGACAACCCCUCCACCUGCAGGAGAGCCUUGCUGGCUCAGCACUACCGCUGGGCUCUGCAGGCCGGAGCCCGCUUCCUGGAUGUACACGGGGUCCAGCUUACGGAGCAGUCUGGGUGAGGGGCUCAGCAUGCUCCCAAAUGGAGACCCUCCAGCCAUCUGUGAGAUCUCGCCCUUGGUGUCUUACUCUGGAGAGGGGUUGGAAAUGUACCUGCAAGGCCGACAACUCCAGUCUCCAUUCAUUCUGGAUGAGGACCAAGCCAGGCUGCUGCGGCCACAGGACUGCUAACCUGCCAGCUCCCAGGGUUUUUGGCCAUGGGGUUCUAUAGGGUGGCGAUGCGGUUCUGGACAAGGGUUUGAGUGGCCAUGCUAGCCUUCAGGACACUGAAGCAAGUGUGCUAGUUGCUCUGAAAGAUUGGGACCUCUUGGAUCCCCCCCCCCAUGGAC